ensembl:lncRNA
UAGUGAUUUACUUUGAGAGAGUUUUAAUAUGAGAGCAGAAGCGGCCACGUGUUUAUAGAAGCAUUCUGACAAAGAUGGACCUCUGUAAAGUUCUUUCUUUGAGGUUUAUUAACAACUCUCAGUACAACAUCGUCUGUACUGUCAGCAGCAGUUACUGUGACUUGGACACCUGGACAAAUAUUGAUGCACUGAAGCUGUACUGUAUUCUGCUUCUACCACUAACUGCAUGCUCACAAGAUUUAGGAGGAGGUAAUGUAAAAACUGUUUUCAUAAUGUAACAUUUAUUUUUUAAUGAUACUCCAGCCUCUGGUUUUAAUCUUUCAGACUGUUUGUAUUAUUGUUACUGAUUUCAGAAACUAUUGUGAAAACAAUUGGGGAACAACCAGAUUUCACUCAAAUAUGAAAGACAGAACAUACUCACGCUGAGAGUUUGUAAGAUCAGAACUCAGAGAAGUGAAGGAGGAAAUUGUUUUCUGUCGUAUGAAUAUGGACGGGGCUUUGUUCAUUAAUGUGACUCCAGGUUUAUGCUGAUGAAAGAAAAUCAGACUGUGUUUCUCCACCUGAUCAAUUUAACAUCAGAGGACAGUGGGAGCUACAGCUGUCAGUGUACAACUCUUGAUGGAACAAAAAUUCUGCAUCUUAAUGUCACUGUGGAAUAUAAACAAGAACUAAGCAGCAGGUCUGGAACAGAAACAGUUCCUCUUACACUGAUUUCUGUAACCGUGUUCAUCAUUGUGAGUUUAGUUAUCUUUGGAUUUAUUCACGCACGACUGCACCAGAGAAAACCAUCUCCUAGACCUCAAAACACGGGGUCAGAGGACAUUGAGCCGUACAGCACCUACAUACGGAGGGAAAGUGGUCUUUAUUCAACUGUUAAAAUGCACGACUCUAAACAGAAUACCAACAGUUCACAUGUGUCAGCAGACACAGUUGAGACAGUCUACGCAGGAGUACAAUAAUAUUAUAUCACAUUUUUCAACACUGACAAUUGUAGUUUGGCAAAUUCACCACAGGGUGGCAUCAUUUGCAAUAUGACUGACAAAUAAAGAACUGACCAGAAUCAGCGGAAAUAGUCAAAUAUUUCAUAUCUAAACACGAUUUCUUUUUAUCAUCUUAGCAUUUUAGUAUUGUGUUUUUAUGUAAAUAUUUUGUUACAAACUGCAGUAAAACUUUAUCCAUCAUUUGUUGUGUUUUUCUUUUUUUUAAUGCAGAAGAGAGAACUUUGUAAAUUCUGAGUUUUCAUAUGACUAAACUCAUAUAGUCAAG